GCAUAUCAAUAAGCGGAGGAAAAAGAAAAUAACAGUGAUUUCCCCUAGUAACUGCGAGUGAAGAGGGACAAGCUCAAAUUUUUAAAUCUGUCGGGUUCUACCUGACCGAGUUGUAAUUUGAAGAGGCGUUUUCUGUGUUUCUGAUCAGUCCAAGUCCUUUGGGAUAAGGCAUCACGGAGGGUGAGAAUCCCGUUCGGUUGAUCAGAUUCGCUUUAUGAUACGUCAUCAAAGAGUCAAGUUGUUUGGGAUUGCAGCUUAAAAUGGGAGGUAAAUUUCUCCUAAGGCUAAAUAACGGCGAGAGACCGAUAGCGAACAAGUACCGUGAGGGAAAGAUGAAAAGAACUUUGAAAAGAGAGUUAAAUAGUACGUGAAAUUGUUGAAAGGGAAACGAUUGAAGCCAGUCGUACCUGCGGGUAAUCAGCCUUUUGGGCAUGAUUCUGUGGAGCGUGAGGAGUUAAACGCCUUCAUGCCUGCAUAUUCGUGUACUUUGGGUGUACUUGCCUGUGUGGUUAGUUAACAUCAAUUUUGGUUAUCAUAAAAUGGCUGGAGGAAUGUAGCUUCGAUUUCGAUUGAAGUGUUAUAGCCUUCGGCAGAUGUGAUGAUCGGGAUUGAGGAUUGCAACGGAUACCCUUCGGGGCUACCUGUCUGAUCUCUGAUCGUUGCUCUGGUGCCGAAAGCGUGCUUACGGUUAUCAAAGUCGAUGGUUAAUAGGUUAGAACGGGUUAAAUUCGUUAAGGAUGUUGACGUA
rnacentral:rRNA from 1 species